rnacentral:rRNA from 1 species
GACGAACGCUGGCGGCGUGCCUAAUACAUGCAAGUAGAACGCUGAAGAGAGGAGCUCGCUCUUCUUGGAUGAGUUGCGAACGGGUGAGUAACGCGUAGGUAACCUGCCUUGUAGCGGGGGAUAACUAUUGGAAACGAUAGCUAAUACCGCAUAACAAUGGAUGACACAUGUCAUUUAUUUGAAAGGGGCAAUUGCUCCACUACAAGAUGGACCUGCGUUGUAUUAGCUAGUAGGUGAGGUAAUGGCUCACCUAGGCGACGAUACAUAGCCGACCUGAGAGGGUGAUCGGCCACACUGGGACUGAGACACGGCCCAGACUCCUACGGGAGGCAGCAGUAGGGAAUCUUCGGCAAUGGGGGCAACCCUGACCGAGCAACGCCGCGUGAGUGAAGAAGGUUUUCGGAUCGUAAAGCUCUGUUGUAAGUCAAGAACGGGUGUGAGAGUGGAAAGUUCACACUGUGACGGUAGCUUACCAGAAAGGGACGGCUAACUACGUG